rnacentral:sRNA from 1 species
CGUAUGCACUUCGAAUAUCAGUUUUUUUAGUUUUUUUUU